rnacentral:lncRNA from 1 species
UACUUCCAAUCCCAUUUAUCCUAAAAUCGAAUUCAUUUUUACCCUCAUCCUCACUCUCUUCUUUUCUCUGACUUCUCUCUCUACCCUCUAAUCCAUCCACCCCGCCAUCUCCGAUAGCAUGGAGAGCUUUGCUAGGCCGACCACGCCAUCGCUGUCGAAAGUGGCGACUCGCUGUUGUAGUGGUGGUAAUUUUGGAGAUGGUUGUAUAGAUGCGGUGGUGCUCUUAGUUGUUGUGGGGGUGUGAUGAUUUUCUAAUAUGAGGUUUGUUGGCUCUGGUGGCGGUGAUGACGACUCUGUUGGUUGUGGUCGCAGUGGUUGGGUGCGGUAGUUACUAUGUUGUGGUGGUGGCUCUAUUUGACAGCUUACCUGACUUCUCUUUGUGUAUACCAAUUAUUUUCAGAAAUUGUGCAUACCCUUUUAAUUUUUUGUUUAUAUGUGUUUAUGUAAUUUGUAUGUAUAGAUCUGAAGUUGGGUGUUUUUGUUUGUCGUUUAGGCUUUGGAUUUGUGAAUAAUAAGGCAAAAACCAUGAAUGUGUGUGUAAACCAAUAGAAUUCAUUGGUGGGUUGUGUUGGAAACAUGGCAAAGAAGGGUGAUUCCGACGGCGUCGUUUGUCUCAAACCUCGUAGGGUUGGUCUUCCCCUUCAAUUUGAUGAACCCAUCAAAUCGC